rnacentral:misc_RNA from 1 species
GAUGAAGAACGUAGCGAAAUGCGAUAAGUAGUGUGAAUUGCAGAAUUCAGUGAAUUAUCGAAUCUUUGAACGCACAUUGCGCCCCUUGGUAUUCCAUGGGGCAUGCCUGUUCGAGCGUCAUUUACACCCUCAAGCUCUGCUUGGUGUUGGGCGUCUGUCCCGCUGCUUUGCGCGGACUCGCCUCAAAGGUAUUGGCAGCGAUCAUGCCAGCUUCUCGCGCAGCACAUUGCGCUUCUUGAAGUUCUGGUGGAUCAGCGUCCAUUAAGCUUACCUUCAUGACUUGACCUCGGAUCAGGUAGGGAUACCCGCUGAACUUAAGCAUAUCAAUAAGCGGAGGA